rnacentral:tRNA from 1 species
UGAUUAGCUCAGCUGGGAGAGCAUCUGCCUUACAAGCAGAGGGUCGGCGGUUCGAUCCCGUCAUCAA